CUACCAUGGCAGUCACGGGUAACGGAGAAUUAGGGUUCGAUUCCGGAGAGGGAGCCUGAGAAACGGCUACCACAUCUACGGAAGGCAGCAGGCGCGAAAAUUGCCCAAUCCUGACACGGGGAGGCAGUGACAAGAAAUAACAACUCUAGGUUUUCUUAGAAGUGUAAUGAGGAUAAUUUACAAACCUUACCGAAUGCAAUUGGAGGGCAAGUCUGGUGCCAGCAGCCGCGGUAAUUCCAGCUCCAAUAGCGUAUAUUAAAGUUGUUGCAGUUAAAAAGCUCGUAGUUGAAAAUCUGAUUGCUCAGGUCUCCAGCCUUUAGGCGGGGAUUCUGACAGUCAUCCGCUUGCAAACAUAUGUUCGAUCUUCACCGGUUGGCUAUGUGAGUAAGCACUUUACCUUGAGAAAAACAGAGUGUUCCAGGCGGGUUUGUCCGGAAUGCAUUAGCAUGGAAUAAUAGAACAUGACUGAAGUCUAUUUAUUGGUUAAAGGCUUUAGUAAUGAUUAAUAGGAACAGUCGGGGGCAUUCGUACUCAGCAGUCAGAGGUGAAAUUCUAAGAUUUGCUGAAGACGAACUAAUGCGAAAGCAUUCGCCAAGGAUGUUUUCAUUAAUCAAGAACGAAAGUUAGGGGAUC
rnacentral:rRNA from 1 species